AUUGAACGCUGGCGGCAUGCCUUACACAUGCAAGUCGAACGGCAGCACGGGUGCUUGCACCUGGUGGCGAGUGGCGAACGGGUGAGUAAUACAUCGGAACAUGUCCUGUAGUGGGGGAUAGCCCGGCGAAAGCCGGAUUAAUACCGCAUACGAUCUACGGAUGAAAGCGGGGGACCUUCGGGCCUCGCGCUAUAGGGUUGGCCGAUGGCUGAUUAGCUAGUUGGUGGGGUAAAGGCCCACCAAGGCGACGAUCAGUAGCUGGUCUGAGAGGACGACCAGCCACACUGGGACUGAGACACGGCCCAGACUCCUACGGGAGGCAGCAGUGGGGAAUUUUGGACAAUGGGCGAAAGCCUGAUCCAGCAAUGCCGCGUGUGUGAAGAAGGCCUUCGGGUUGUAAAGCACUUUUGUCCGGAAAGAAAUCCUUGGCCCUAAUACGGUCGGGGGAUGACGGUACCGGAAGAAUAAGCACCGGCUAACUACGUG
rnacentral:rRNA from 1 species